GUAUGGCUCUUGUCUCAUUUCUGCCAUCAACUUGCUGUGUGACCUUAGGGAAACCACUUGCUCUCUCUGGGCCUUAGUUUACUCACGUCUAAAAUGAAGGGUUGAUAGAUCAGGGUCAGUAAACUUUCUACAGGACUGGAUAGCAUUUUAGGCUUUUCAGGACACUUGUGUCUCUGUAACGCAGUUGUACCUCCCCAACUCUAAAAAUGUUAACACUGGGAAUAUAGCUAGGCGGUACAGCAUUUGCCUAGUUUGCACAGGGCCCUGGGGUUGAUCCCCAGCAUCACAAGAAAAAAAAUAAAAAAUAAAAACUAUUCUUAGCUCAUGGGUCAUAUAUCAGCAGGCCAGAUCUGAUCUGCAGGCAAUAGUCUGUCAAGCUUAGAGUUAGAGAAAUGGAAUCCAACCUGCGUUCUGCAGAACACCCCACCAGAUGCCCAUCAGACCAGUUCUAGCUCUGCCUUUAUCGAAACCCUAGGGUUCUACCUGAAGGAAUUCUCCUAAGAAAACAAACAGUAAACCACUGGCUCACGUGGCCCUGAGGAAUCCUGGUGGUCCAGCCGGCUGUGUGCGCCAGUAACACAAAAGCCAUUCUGCAACAGGGCCCUUUUCUGGCUCCGCAUCUGAGGCCUUCCACCCUCCGGGGGAUUUCCCCUCUCUCUCUGCUCCCUGGAAAUGUCCCAACAGUGUCACCAACUGCACCUCUCACCUCCCAGUCAAGGAUGAUGAAGUCAAGGCCAACAGAGCUUCAAUAACUUGCCCAAUGCAUACAGCUGGAAAGCAGCAGAGCUGGGUUCAGAUCCAAGCCCUCCUGGGCCUGGGAACAGCACUGGCUCCCCAGUGAGUGGUGCCCCGGUGCUUCCUCAGCACAAAGUGCAGUGCACAUAUGUUGGGGAGGCAACCCAACCCCCAGCUGCUGGAGAGAAUGGGCAUCCAACAAAGGCAGACGCGGAAGAAGAGACCAAGGCCAGCUGCUCCCCCACCUCCGUCUCUCUGCGCAGAGGGCCCUACCUGAGGAUGGCUCAAGCUCCAAGAUGGCAGGAUAUAUCUGCAGGUUCUCCUGGAAGAGGAAGAGAAGGCAGCUCAUGGCCCUGGGCAGCUGGACACUAAUGUAUGGGUUGGUGUGACUGCAGGGACACAUGUGGCUGCCACUGUCCACGUGCGGAAGCUCAAACUCCGGGCUCCACGUGCACCCUGCCUGGCCUGUGGCGGGCGGCGCUGUUCUGGCUGUCAGACCCCAGGUCUGUUUUCAGGAAGAGCACCUUGGCUUUCCUUUGGGAAAUCCCCCUCCCCAGCCUCAGGUCAUGUGGUUUUGGGGGAGCGCCCUUCCCCAGCUCAAGUGGCUGAGCUUGUGAUGCAGCGUGGAAAGGCAGAGUGACACAGUCCUGCCACGAGGCCUCAGCCCUUCCCCACCACACACCUGCAACAAAACCUGUGGGUGUCGGGCUGGGGGUUGUGGCUCAGUGGCUGAGCACUUGCCCAGCAUUUGUGGGGCACGGGGUUUGAUUCUCAGCA